UUUCUCUGCGGAGACCUUAACGCACUACCUCGCGCUCUUCUCGUGCUGCCGGUGCAUAAAUAUUUAGUGUGCGAUGCCAAACUCAGUGCCCGCGAAAGUUUCAUGGUGCUCGGCUGAAACCGUGUCAAAUUGCCGGCCGGCUUUUUGGCUUCUCACAACGCUUCCAGCUCGCAACCGUUUUGUCACCUUCUUGCGGUCUACAGAGCUCCUCUGGAGCCGUUGCAGCCUCGAUUCCACACAUCUUGAAAAGAUGAUCCUCCUGGCAUGACGUCACUGAUGCAGAUUCAAGGCGCCUGCCGGGUCUGACAGCGAGAUGCUCUCUGUGGCUAUAGGGUGGAAGAAGAUGAUGAUGAACCAGUCACGGCUAAUAGCUUGUGGUGCUCGUAAAGCUUUAGAUGAGACCCGCUACACAAGAUAGACCCAAGCUUUUUCGUCUUGUUCUCCCGACGUAAUGGAAAUUAAAGACAUAAAUCCGGGAAUUUAUCGUAACAAAAUUAGGAACUGAUUUUUUAACUCAAACUUUUUAAAAUUCUAGGUUUCAAGAAAUUGGCACAAAAGGAUUGAAAUAUUCUGGUGACGUGAAAUAGCCUCUCCUAGGCUUUGUCUGUCUUUCUUCAGGAUUCAGACAUAGCCUGUUAGAGAGAGGCAGCUCGUGUCCAAGACUACAUGUCAUCAUCAGGAAAAGGUACCAGAUGGCGCGGUCAGUCACUCGAUUUUGCUCAAGUGCCGUGGAAGGUUCUGCGAAGCGCCACCACGGUCAGAAGAACGCAAUCAGCCUCGCAAUUCGCAAUUCACCGACCGCUGCUGCUUUAUAGCGUACGUGCCGUACACAAAACACUCUGACUGGUCGAUCUUGGGUUCCGCAUUCUUUCGACCACUCCAACUGUGCAAAAAAUUUACUCCGCUCGGUCAAUUUAGGAGCGAAAAUUUUUAUUUGAGGAAACUCAUACGUAAUUUGACAAACGUCAUGUUGUGUUGGUUAAAAUAAAUAUUAUGAAGCA